rnacentral:rRNA from 1 species
AUUGAACGCUGGCGGCAGGCCUAACACAUGCAAGUCGAGCGGAGCGGCGGACGGGGGAGUAAUGCCUAGGAAUCUGCCUGGGAGCGGGGGAUAACGGCCGGAAAUGGGCGCUAAUACCGCAUACUAUCAGAUGAGCCUAGGCCGGAGUAGCUAGAUGGUGGGGUAAAGGCCUACCAAGGCGAAGCUCCGUAACUGGUCUGAGAGGAUGAUCAGUCACACUAGAACUGAGACACGGUCCAGCCUCCUACGGGAGGCAGCAGUGGGGAAUAUUGGACAAUGGGCGCAAGCCUGAUCCAGCCAUGCCGCGUGUGUGAAGAAGGUCUUCGGAUUGUAAAGCACUUUAAGUUGGGAGGCGUUACCAACAGAAUAAGCACCGGCUAACUUCGUGCCAGCCGCCGCGGUAAUUC